UACGUAGGGCGCAAGCGUUGUCCGGAAUUAUUGGGCGUAAAGAGCUCGUAGGCGGCCAGUUGCGUCUGCUGUGAAAUCCCGGGGCUCAACCCCGGGCGUGCAGUGGAUACGGGCUGGCUAGAGGCAGGCAGGGGAGAACGGAAUUCCCGGUGUAGCGGUGAAAUGCGCAGAUAUCGGGGGGAACACCGGUGGCGAAGGCGGUUCUCUGGGCCUGUACUGACGCUGAGGAGCGAAAGCGUGGGGAGCGAACAGG
rnacentral:rRNA from 1 species